rnacentral:tRNA from 1 species
AUAAAUUUGGCAGAUGGAUGUAACAGACUUAGAAUCUGUUUAGGAAGAUUAAAUACUUCAAUUUAUA